CGUCGUGAGACAGUUCGGUCCCUAUCCGUCGCGGGCGCAGGAAAUUUGAGAGGAGCUGUCCUUAGUACGACAGGACCGGGAUGGACACACCGCUGGUGUACCAGUUGUUCUGCCAAGAGCAUCGCUGGGUAGCUAUGUGUGGCCGGGAUAAGUGCUGAAAGCAUCUAAGCACGAAGCCCCCCUCAAGAUGAGAUUUCCCAUUGCGCAAGCAAGUAAGAUCCCUCAAAGA
rnacentral:rRNA from 1 species